rnacentral:rRNA from 1 species
UACGUAGGUGGCAAGCGUUAUCCGGAAUUAUUGGGCGUAAAGCGCGCGCAGGUGGUUUCUUAAGUCUGAUGUGAAAGCCCACGGCUCAACCCCGGACUUGCAGUGGGUACGGGCAGACUAGAGUGUGGUAGGGGAGACUGGAAUUCCUGGUGUAGCGGUGAAAUGCGCAGAUAUCAGGAGGAACACCGGUGGCGAAGGCGGUUCUCUGGGCAUGUCCUGACGCUGAGGAGCGAAAGUGUGGGGAGCGAACAGG